UAGUCUACGCCGUAAACGAUGGAUACUAGUUGUUUGGUUUUCGGACUGAGUGACUAAGCGAAAGUGAUAAGUAUCCCACCUGGGGAGUACGUUCGCAAGAAUGAAACUCAAAGGAAUUGACGGGGGCCCGCACAAGCGGUGGAGCAUGUGGUUUAAUUCGAUGAUACGCGAGGAACCUUACCAGGGCUUAAAUGUAGUCUGACAGCUUUAGAGAUAGAGUUUUCUUCGGACAGAUUACAAGGUGCUGCAUAGUUGUCGUCAGCUCGUGCCGUGAGGUGUCAGGUUAAGUCCUAUAACGAGCGCAACCCCUGUUGUUAGUUGCCAUCGAGUAAUGUCGGGAACUCUAACAAGACUGCCGGUGCAAACCGUGAGGAAGGUGGGGAUGACGUCAAAUCAUCACGGCCCUUACGUCCUGGGGCCACACACGUGCUACAAUGGGUAGGGGACAGAGAGCAGCCACUAUGUGAAUAGGAGCGAAUCUAUAAACCCUAUCU
rnacentral:rRNA from 1 species